rnacentral:rRNA from 1 species
UCUAGAGCUAAUACAUGCGAAAAAAUCUUUCAAGGUGAGCAAUCAUUUUGAAGGUGAUGCAUUUAUUAGAUUAAACCAAUCAUUGUAUCAGUAGUUUACUCUAUUGAUGCAUUGUUGUGGUGAGUCUGGAUAACUGUGCCGAUCGUAUGGCCUAGAGCCGGCGACAUUUCGAUUAAAUUUCUGCCCUAUCAACUUGUUGGUAAGGUAGUGGCUUACCAAGGUGAUUACGGGUAACGGGGAAUCAGGGUUCGAUUCCGGAGAGGGAGCCUGAGAAACGGCUACCACAUCCAAGGACGGCAGCAGGCGCGCAAAUUACCCAAUCCAGACACUGGGAGGUGGUGACGAGAAAUACCAGGUCGUUCCCAAAAGGAUUCGACACUGGAAUGAGUGCAAUUUAAAAAUUUCAACGAGUAACAACUGGAGGGCAAGUCUGGUGCCAGCAGCCGCGGUAAUUCCAGCUCCAGUAGUGUAUCCAAACGUUGCUGCGGUUAAAACGCUCGUAGUUGGACAAGAGAGUAGCUUGGUGCGGGCGGGGAGUGUAAUUGCUCUAUGUGUUUACUUGUUUAGAAAGUUGUCCUUGUCUUUCGAAAGUUAGCAAGGUUCAACUGACUUUUCAUGCUUAACCAUAGUAGUAGCGCUUGUCGACCAUGCUGCCAGGCUACUUGUAAUGUUUCGUGAGAAUGGUACAUGGUCUUCAUUGUACUGUGUAUUAUGUCUUACGUAGUGUGCCUUGAAUAAAUCAGAGUGCUCAAAGCAAGCUAUCGCUUGAAUGUUAAUAGCAUGGAACGAAUGUAUAGUGUAAGUGCGCUAGUAAGCAUCAUUCGUGGUGUUUGCUAGUACACAGCACCAACCGCGAAGCGGAACAUUGGUUACCGACUUCGGGUGAGGAUUAAAAGGGGCAUUUGGGGGGCAUUAGUAUU